GCGAGAGAGAGCGAGGGAGAGAGAGAGAGAGAGAGAGAGAAGGAGGGAGGAAGUCAAAAAAGAGAGGAACGCAGUGAGAGAUGAGACAAGAAGAAAGAAAAAGGAGAUGCAGGAAAAAAGACGGAGAACCGCGUGUGACAACGAGCGAUGAGGUGAAGGUGUAAGGUCUGAGAGGACACGCUCCACCUCAAGCAACCCCGACUGCUACAUCUGCAACCUGCUGGAGGAGAUUAUCAUCCCUCCACCUUUCCUCCUCGGCCACGCAUCCAUCCAUCCGUCCAUCCGUCCGUGCCUCGACCCCUUCCAGUCCCUGAGGCCACCUUGGUAAUUGUGUUAAGUCCCUGAUUGCAGAUGUCUCUCAUCACGGGAACCAGACGCAGUGCUGGCCAGACAGCCUCUUGCACAUGUGCAUGCACAUACACACAUCCAGACGGCGCUAUCAAAUGUAGCACAGACUCUUAAAAAAAUAAAAAAGAAGUAGAUGCAGGCAAAUCAGCCUCAUGUCGACAUUCCCCCACGGGAGCGAGAGAGACUAAACUCCAGUCUGGGACGGAGACGGCCUUAAUCAGCGAAGGAGACAGUGACAGAGCGAACACUGAAAAGCGUGCACGCAUACUUUUACACACAUAGUCACACCUCUGGGAAAUGUCUUGGUCCUACAGCGUGGAAAUCCCUCAAACAGGCAGAAAAUAACUGGGGCGAGCCAAACGCACACGCGCGCGCACAGAGUGUACGUGAAUAUGCAGAGAGGAUAACACGCUUUCCUCGACUGUAAUUGCAGCUCUGAGGGAACACCCCCGUGGCUGUUUCUACACAGUCGACACGCAGAAGGAAGGAGAGAGGGUGUCGUGGAAAUGCAAAAGGGAAGUGCUGGAAAGCGUGAGAGAUGAGGAAAGGUUCGCAGCGAGUGCACGAGUGUUGCCGCCACCAGGAAAAAUCAAAACAGCAACCGGGAGACAGUGAAGGGAGGAUUCCACCAGUGCUGCCUCGAGACCAGGAAUCUCCCUCGUUCCACAUGAAAAAAAACAAAAAACAACCUUAGUUACUAAAAAUGGCCAGAGGCUUGCAGGAGAUGGAUCUGAUAAGCUAACAUUUCUUGGAAAUGAGAGGGUGAAGCGCUUCUUUCAUGUCUACUUUCCGAGGAGGACACUGUUUUACCUCGCUCUCGUUUUUUCAGUCCUCCAUUAUAAAUCCCAAGGUGGAUGUACGUAGAAUGUAGAAUAUAUAAAGUAUGUAGAAUCUGCAGAACACGACAUCGCGAGUCCGAGUACUUUAAAGCAGACAGCUUUUAUUGGGAAGAAGUUCACUUUAUUUUCUGAAUGCCGCCUUUCAGCUUUUGAGUGGCUGUGAGUGCCAAGGCUGUGUCUUCUUGAUCAAUGGACUGCUUCUAAAAUCCUCCAAAAGUAACUUAAUAACACAGUUCACUAAUGCUUAAAGUGCACUAAUGGAGCGGAGAAACAUCUAUUUCUCACACACUCCCUUGGAGUUCUAUUUGAUUAA